rnacentral:lncRNA from 1 species
GAAGACUGCUAGCUAUUGGAGUUGCUUGCUUGAAUGUGGCUAUCUUUAUUUGAUACCUUGAUCUUAAUGAUGUAUGGAUAUUACUUAUUGGUUAUUGAUCAUUGCUUGAUUAAAGUCCAAAGAAAAAUGGGUUUCUACAUGACAUUCUUGUCUGUUGGAUUACAUCCCACUGGUCAGAUUCUUCAAAUUUGGCAGCAUGGUCCGUAAUAGUCAUGUUACCCAGCUUCAGCUCCAUAAAUUCAAUCUCU